GUCUACAGACGCAGGGAGAGCAACACUGCGGCGUGUCGCCGCCAUCCGCUCGGAAACAGCAACACAACCUCAGGCUGACAUCGAUAUAGAUGGCGUUUUCCCCACCCUGGAGGGAGAAGGUGGUUUGCUGGCAGCCACAGCUCGUUGGAGGCAGGGCUGCAUUGCUGUGUUGGAGACUGGCUUGAUCACACCGUCUGAAGAGCAAUAACAAGGAGCUGGGAUUUGGGAGGCUCCUUCUGCCUGUCCUGCACCUUGCUUUGUCUGGUUGCCUCCUCAUCUUGGGGCCUGGAGCCACCACCUGCUCUGGACUCCUCCUUCUCCUUCUGCUGGGCCCGGCGCUGC